CGAAGGGCUGGACCCAGCCGGGUAACCCGGGAAAAAACUAAAGCAAAGGUCUGGCCGAGGAUGGGUGGGGCUUUGGAGUGGGCGGGGCAGCCCCGCCUGAGGCGUGGCCCGCGGGGCUGGCCCCCAUCCGUCUUACGUAGCCUGGGCGGAGGCGGUGGGCUCCUGGUCCAGCGAGGGGCCUUCGGCGGACGAGGCCCAGCUCAAUGGCUUUUGAUGCAUCCUAAGGUCCCACUGAAGGGACCUUUUAGUCCCAAGGGGGUUCCGGCUUUCAUGCAACUGACCCCCACCCUGCCCAUUCUGGACAAAGCUGCGCUCCUGGCUGGCACAAGCAGAAACGGAAGAACCACAGGUUAGACAAUAAUUUAUUGAGAAGCCUCCCUUCCCCACCUUCACAGACUCUAGGUCAUUUUUUCCGCUUGUAGAUCUUUUGUGCUAACCCAAGGAAGAUGGCUGGGGGCAGGGGCGCAGCAUACUGCUCGAUGAGACCCAUAAUGUGGUUGUAACUGUCUUCCUCGUAUUGCAUAUACACAGCCGACAGAUUCAUCUCCUCGUAGAGCGCCUUCACUCGGGCCACCUUCUCAGCCUCCUUCUGCCCAUAGUUCUCCUGAAGGGACGGAGGUAGGAAAACGAACUUAUUAGCCUUCCCCCAGCACCUCUAGGUCCCUCCACUCCCCCAUCCAGAACCUCUCCAAUGCCCUUUAUUCAUUCCAUUCCUGCCUCUAGUUUCAAGGGUCUCUGAGUAGCUAUAAUCUCGAACUCCAGCCCCCCCCCAACGCCGCCCCCUUCCCAAAUGCUCACUCAGUCAGUGGGGUUCCGGCCUCAGCUUCUUCUACCCCACGGUUUCUCAACCCGUGGCCCAUUUGAAAUUUCUGCCAGAUAGUUCUUUGUGGGAAGCUACUGUAUGUGUGGUAUUUGGCAGCAUCUCUGGCUUCUACCCACUAGGGAUCCCAGUGGCACAGGCACACACACACACACACACACACACACCAAGUUAUGAUGACAAAAAAAAAAUGUCUCCUGACACUGUCAAAUGCCAGGGCGUGCGUGCGUGCAUGUGUGUGUCAAAUCACCCCCAUUGAAAACCCACUGCUCUUUCCCCUACUCCACAGCUAGGGGAUCCACAGCACAGCCUAGGGCACCUGCAGGAUUUGGCGCUGUUCUGGAGAGGCCCGCUGCAGACACUGAACCACCAGCCAGCUGCACUUGUUGUCCUGGAUGUCUGUGCCGAUCUUACCCGUCACGCUGGGGUCCCCAAAGAGAUCAAGGUAAUCAUCCUGGGCAGAGAGGGUUCAGAAGAGAAGGAACGAAGAGGCUGUAAGGCAGGGAAGGAGCAAAGCUGGAGCCUGUUUUCUGCCAGCGCCCCAUGCCUUCCUACCUGAAUCUGAAAGAACUCUCCCAUCUCCAGCAGGAUCUUCUUGGCAUGGGCAUGCUCCUUCUCCCCAUCAAUGCCUGCCUACAGUGAAAAGGGGGUUAACAAGUCAUACGCCAGAGGUGCCUGCAUCUUCCUGGCUGCUUCCUCCCACGAAGAGGGUCUUGCCCCAGUACAGACCCCCCAAGUCUUCUCUCCUUUCAGACACCCUUGGCUUCCCUGAUAAAGGAAGUCCUGGCUGACGGUCCACCCCCUAUCCCACUGAUUUUAGCUAUGGGUCUUCUUGCAAGUCACAGCAGAGGUGAGUUCAUUCUGGAGGCUGUCAGACUCUCUUCUCUCACAAGGCUCAGUCCCUGAGUCGCUCUGAUCCUGCUUCCUAAUCUUUUUACCAUUUCCAAAUUCUUUCACUAUGGAAAGGAAACUUGGAGAAGGUCAGCAUAGAUAGUUAACCCCAUGGAUUGCCUCUGAAUCUAGUCUUCUCCCUCAGCCUGAAUUAUCUCCUCCCCACUCCUACUGCUGUACACAGAUGGAGAAUUCCUUGUUCCCCCUUGAUGGGCUGUCCACUUUCAUGUAAACCACUCAGUUCUUUUUUAUAAUUAGUCCCACGGGUGGGGAUUUUAUCCACAUCUUAUAGCUGAGGAAACAGACUCAGCAAGAUUAAGUAGCUUGUUCAAUAUCUCUCAGCCAUUCCUAGAGGGGGUGUGCCUGCUCCGUGGCCUCCUUAUUGAAAGGCCCACAUGAGCAGGGCAGCAAGGGAUGAAGAGGCUCACUCACCAUAUACAUGGCAGCAGCUACAGGAAGGUAAAAGGAGUAGAAAGCUGUCUUGUACUUGACAAUAGACUUAUACCUGCAUGCAUGGAGAAGAUAAACUCCUUAGAAGGAUUAUGCACCCUCUCCCAGCCCUCCCUCUCACUGUCCAGAUAUGGUUCCCAUGGUCCCUCACCUCUUUUCUGUGAAUCUGCCAAGAUCCACGUUGCCCUGGGGGGCUGUGAUGAGGUCCAAGGUCUGUCCGAUCUCAGUUUGAUAAGAACUCUAAGGAGCAGGAAGAUGGCCUGUGAACUGGGCUUUCUCCAGGGCUGGAGAACUCUGAAAUCUUGGGCCCUACAUCCCACAGUAGUUGAUAACUGGGUGGUCAGAAAGACAGGAGGAGGAAGAGAGGGCUCCCAAACUCAAGGCCCACACAGUCACACACAUGACCUUUACCACUCCUUUCAAUCACAGAGACACAAGGAAGCCGCCGCCACCACCCGCCCCCACUCCCUCCCUCAAUUACUUCCCCUUCCAGGCAAACCUGGGUAUCACCCUAAAACAAGACUGUCCCAAAGAGGACAGUGAGCAUCGCAUAUCUGGACGAGAAUGUCCCAUAGAGGCCAAGGCCACCGUGGGGGCCCUAGUCUGCACCACACCUGCAGGAAGAGCUCGAUCAGGUCCAGGUAAUAGGGCUGCUCCCGACAGUACAGCCUCAACAGGCGGUAGAUGGAUGAUUCCAGAAGGAAAGCAUCAUUGAUGGCAUCCAAACCUAUGCCUGGCUGUCAGGGACACAGAAAAACAAGCAAUCAACUUCUGGCCUAGACUCAUACCAAGAACCCGUAACACCUCCUCCAUAGGCUCCAUGUGACCCUUUCCCAGUGGUCUGUUGCCAUGCCCACCGCACUACCUUCCCGCCCACUUACCUUCUGAUACCAGCAGGUCUGCCCCCGUCGGGUGAGGGAUGAGUCCAUAAUGUCAUCUGACACCAGGAAGAAGGCUUGGAGCUAGGAGGAUGGAAAGUGGAAUAAGAGUCCCAGGGCUCCUUAUGAUUGUUCCUUCUACCAGCAAUAGAUGCUGCUUUUAAGAAUCACUCAACAGGGAAGGUAGGUCAGGAUGAGGCCGAGGACUGGUUUUUUUUGGCCACACUGUGUGGCUUGCGGGAUCUUAGUUCUCCAACCAGAGAUCAAGCCCGUGCCCCCUACAUUGAGAGCACGGAAUCCCAACCACUGCGCUGCCAGGCAAGUUCACUGAGGACUUUUAAUCUGGGCUGUGGGACUUUGGAAGAUUGUAUGACUUCUUUGGCUCAGGCUUCCCAACUAUAAAAAGGGACAAAAAACUCCCUUGUUUUCAGAGUAAGAGACAUAACAGAUCUCCAGACAAUUCCUGGUAUCAGGGAGAUGAUGAAAUAUCUUCAUAUACUGUACUCCUCCCUGGCCAAAAACUUCGGGGAGGGUUUCAAGCAAGACUUUUUCAUGCAGCGUGACUUUACAUGACUUCAGGAACAAGAAAGACUGGUUCCUGCAUUCUCUCCGGGCACUGCUUACCCACUCCAGCAAACAGGAACAAAACCGCACCUCAGGAAGCUCACUUAGGAGCCUGGGUCUAAUAGGGUGGAACUGAAGUCUGACUCCUGGUAACUUUCACCCAUGCUCUUAAACAUCCUCAAAGGGCUUCCUCUUCUGAGUGCCAGCCUCCUGGAAAGUACCAGACUAUGCUGGCUCCCUGCAGGACUGUGAACUAACUACCUUGAGGCAGGGACGAGGUGUUUGACUGUAUGCCAUUCCCAAAGCCCAGCACAGUGCUGGUCCAUAAAUGUCUGUCUAAGAAAUACAUGAGAGAAUGAAGCACUGUAACUUCUCCCAGAAAUACUUCUAGCAGCCAGGCUACAUGUUCCGGCUCCCUCAAAUAGCUUGUGAAGACAUGGUGUGUUUUUUUUUUCUUUUUGGCCACACCGCAUGGCUUGUGGGAUCUUAGUUCCUCGACCAGGGAUUGAAUCUGGGCCCCACUUCAGCAGUGGGAGUGCUGAGCCCUAACCACUGGAGUAUUACGGGAAGUCCUUGAAGAUAUGGUUUUUAAUGUCUUGUGUGUGUGCUCCAGUGGAUCUGCACGGCUCAGAGGAAGUGCCCACCACUAGCCACCAGCUCGGGUGUGCACAGUGCCGAAAGGGCUGUUGUCGUUCCAGGCCAAGUCCUCGGGAAGGAGGUCUCCAUCUGCACCUUUUCCUCUGACGUCACCCUGGAGUAGGGCCUGGGCUUUCCACAUUGGGGCACACAUUUUAUUUACAGUGUGUCUAUGUGGAGUGGCAUUGUUCCCUGAAGCCACAGCUCCACUGCCUCCCCUGAGUGGCUACAAGGGCCAGCUGGUUUCAACCAGCACCACUCAACCAAGAUCGUCUCUGAAGGGCAUUCAUUCCGUGGCCUCCCUCAAUCUCCUCUGCCCCCCCCCCAACUGCACUUUCUGUUUAUUAGGAGAACAUUAGAUCUACAGGGAUUUUACCACAGUAUUGGGUUGGGUUUUUUAGUAAUCUCCCUAGGUAUGUGUUACAGUGGGAAGUAGCAAGAAACACACCACAUUACCCACCCUGCAUCCUUACCGAAAUGCCUCCCUGCCUGUUUCCUCUAGAUACGAAUCAGACUGGGCUGUGAGCCACUCUAUCAAAUAAUUGGCCUAGACUUUAAAAAAGUCCGUUAUAAUGGAGGAAGUAUUCUAAAGACUGAAGAAAAACUAACAAAUGCAAUGCAUCACUUCUACUUGGAUCCUAGAUGUUUUUUGUUUUUUUUUUUUUUAAACCUUAUAGUAGACAAUUGGGGAAGAAUUAUGAAUAUUUAAAUAUGGAAUAUAUUAGGUAAUAUUAUGAUAUCAAUGUUAACUAUCAUGACUGUUGCUCUGAUUUGAAUGCUUCCCCCCAAAAUUCUUAUGUUGAAAUCCUAAACUUCAAAGAUAACAGUAUUAGAAGGUGGACCCUUUGGGAGGUGCUCAGAUCAUGAGGGUGGAAGCCUGAUGCAAGGGAUUAGUGCCCUUAUGAAGGAGACCUCCAAGCGCUCCGUUGCCCCUUCCACCUGAGGACACAGCAAGAAAAUGCUGGCUACGAAUCAGGAAGAGAAGUCCUGACUCCUGGUAAGACCCAGUCAUGUGGGUGCCUUAAUCUGGACAUCCCAACCUUCAGAGCUGUAAGAGAUAAAUUUUCUGUUGUUUAUAAGUUACCCAGUCACUGGUAUUUUGCUGUUGUUCAGUCGCUAGGCUGUGUACAACUCUUUGCAGCCCCGUGGAUUGCAGCACACCAGGCCUCCUUGUCCCUCACUACCUCUCAGAGUUUGCCCAAGUUCAUGUCCAUUGAAUCAGUGAUGUUAUCCAACCACCUUAUUUUGUUAUAGCAGCCCAAACAGACUAAGACAGAUGUGAAAAUGCUAUUGUGGUUAUAUAGGCAAAUGUCCUUGUUUUUAGGAGGUAAAUGCUGAAAUAGAAAAGAGGUUGAAGGAGAUGUGGUAGAAGCGAAAGGAAGAUAAAAGCAGAGAUUAUAACAAAAAUCAUCCAAAACAAUGGUGCACUGCUCAAACGGGAUCUUAGGGGAAGUGGUCACAGUGCAGCUGCGUUUAAGAAAACAUGGGAAUUCCCUGGAAGUCCAGUGGUUAGGACACAGCAUUUUCACUGCCGGGACCAAGGGUCAUCCCUCAUCAGGGAACUAAGAUCCCACAAGCAGCACGGUUUGGUCAAACAAACCAACCCAACCGCAGGUGAACCCACAGCGCAGCUAAGGUUAGUAACAACUGAUUUUACCAGGUGAGCUGCUGGGCCCCCCACAGCUCUACCCUUACCCUCCUGCCCUUCACUCCUUGCCUGCUGUCUGUGGCUACGGGCUCCUCAGCACCACCGAUCCCUAGAAGGGCACCGCUGUCACCAGGGGCCCCACCCUCAGUGAGGCCAUCAUCCUUUUACCCCCUUGGAGGCAAAUCCCUACUGUAUAGCCCCAUCUCCCUUACUCGCUCUAGGUUGGAAAUUCCACCACCUGCAGGACAGAUAGCUCCACCUGAUCUGCUCACGCCAAGACUGCAGCAUGGCCAGUGCUGAGCUCAUCACACCCUCCCUCAGGCCAGCUGCUCCUCUCCACAGGCCAGGAUCACCCGUCAUUCACCAAGCCCAGAGUGUCUUCCCUCCUGGGCUCAUCUCCCCACUCCUCAGGGCCUAGCACCCCCCAACUCCAGAACCUAGUCCCCCCUGGAAAGCCUAAAAUGGAGACUUUAGGCCAGGUGAGCAAACCAUACACCUUCAAGAACCAACUGAGCUUGGAGACAGGAAGACUGAGCAAAACAGACAGAUCCACACAAGAGAGUCCAUCUCCAGUCUUGGGGAAGAGGCUUCAACUUUGGCCAACUGUUGCUAUAUGGGACUCUGGACCCAUAUCUAGCAAUUUUCCAUGUGAUACAAGACAUCUGGGGUUUCAUGUGAAAUCUCUCCUUUUGUUAGAUUUAGGGAACUUAAUUUUAAAACAUUUUCAAAAACUACCAGUAGGCUUCGAGUUUUCAAUCUCUGCCAUAGAAUAAUCUUCUAGAA